GAUGAACGCUGGCGGCGUGCCUAAUACAUGCAAGUCGAGCGAACAGAUGAGGAGCUUGCUCCUCUGACGUUAGCGGCGGACGGGUGAGUAACACGUGGAUAACCUACCUAUAAGACUGGGAUAACUUCGGGAAACCGGAGCUAAUACCGGAUAAUAUAUUGAACCGCAUUGUUCAAUAGUGAAAGACGGUUUUGCUGUCACUUAUAGAUGGAUCCGCGCCGCAUUAGCUAGUUGGUAAGGUAACGGCUUACCAAGGCAACGAUGCGUAGCCGACCUGAGAGGGUGAUCGGCCACACUGGAACUGAGACACGGUCCAGACUCCUACGGGAGGCAGCAGUAGGGAAUCUUCCGCAAUGGGCGAAAGCCUGACGGAGCAACGCCGAGUGAGUGAUGAAGGUCUUCGGAUCGUAAAACUCUGUUAUUAGGGAAGAAAAAAUGUGUAAGUAACUAUGCACGUAUUGACGGUACCUAAUCAGAAAGCCACGGCUAACUACGUG
rnacentral:rRNA from 1 species